UUUGAUUCAUACUUAUAGUCGUAUGCUCCUGGUGUUCUUUAUUUCCUCUCCCCCUUUCCCGUUUAUUUAUUAGGGUUUCUCAUGAUUUCAGCCUCCAUUAUCUUUUCUCAAGACAUCAUAUGGUGAUUCUCUCCCUAAAGUUAUGAUAUUUGUUUAUAUUCUGUUUUAGUCUUUGUCACAUUGGCCUCUUGAUGCGAAACCUUUGUUGUUUCUUCACCCUGGUGACCUCACCGUUACUCUGAAUAAGAUCAUUUUCAUUUUGUUAUUUUCGUAGUCAAUGUAAACAUCUGUGCUAUAUAUUAUACACAUACACAUGGAGUCUUGAACUCACAAUCUACUGUUGCAGAAGGCUUGAUUAGCAUAAAUAGGGUGACCACUACCUGGAUCUUUUUUAUUUGAUUAAAAAAUUUCUGAGUAGUUUAUACAUGGAAUAAUCUAAUAUAAUCUGCAAUUGUAAGGAAAAAAGGCACCAGACAACGUUUUUGGUCAUUUGAUUAGAUGUCCUGCCAGUUUUUAAAAAUCUAUCAAAUUAGCCUCAUAUUGAAAUUGAAUCACCUUCUUGGAAAAAGCUACACCAUGCUUUAUGAUGUGAAAGUUUGUACUUGUGCAAUCUGUAGUUAAUAUGGACUUUGAUCUCUUUUACAACAUCAAUUCUUAUAAUGCUCAUCUUGCAGCUAAUGUCACAAGGUUUGUUUUGGUUAUGAAAUUGGAAACUACUUAUUCAUACCAUUUUUGAGAUUAAAUAAGUAAACCUUAAGUCGAAAGUGAUUCUUUUAAAUUUGUAUAAGCCAUUAUGUUAAACUUGGAAAUGGUAGGUUUAAUGUCAAAAAUUCAGUAAAUUAUGUUGGCAGGAAUGCAGCAUGUUAUAUGAUAAGUAUGAUGCAAGUUUCAGUUUUGUAUUUUUAUGUAGAAUUUAUGCUGUUUAAUUUCAUUUUUAUGUAAGUUUAUCUAUAUCUAUAUCUAUCUAGCUGUAUUUUUGUCUGGAAUGAGGAAGCUUAGCCAAAUCAGACAUUGAUGUGCUCCAUAGGGAUGGAUGGUUACACUUGACAUCCUUUUGUUGAAGCGCAUCUCUCUGAUGAUAAAACAGAGAUGGGUUACUAGCUGACCAGAUUAAUUUACUUCAUGCACCAUAUACAUAAUUUACAAGUCUUUAAACCAACAAACUCUUAAAUUUUAAAAGCAUCUACUCUAUAUAUGUAAUUCCGAAAAAGCAGCUGUAACACACAUGCUUAUGUUUAUGUUAAAAUAAUUUAUUCAGCUAUACUUUUAAUUUCAUGCAGUUAGACUAAUGAGUCGGAAGACUCAAGAACGAUCUAGAAAAUGCUAGAUCAUGCAAGAAUAACUUGGAUAAUAUCAUAACAUCCUAGAAAUAUCUAGAACAUUAUAGAAUAGUGUAUCAUAAUAUGGAGUCUUGUAAAGAUAAUGUAGAUAUUGAUAGAACACUCUAGAAUAGUCGAGAAUAUACGGGACCUAGAAACUUCCCAUGAGGAGGUGUAAUGUCCCUAUAAAUAGGAAGGAGGUCUUAUUUGUAGAGACUAUCGAGAAGUCGUUGUAAUCUCUUGAGUUCUUAUAAUACAAACACUCUUUGUAUUCUUGAAAUGUUAGUCUCUUGCUUUCCGAUUUCGUUAUUACAUUUAAGAUUGUUGAAGUAGCCUGACUUAGUCAAAGUAAAACUAAGUGGCACACGAGAUAGACUAAUCGUAAGGGUCAUCUCGUGACAACAAGCCGGCAUGUUUUCUUUUAUGUCUGAAAAUGUGUCUGUGUUGAUAAAGUGUUGCAUAUAAAAUGUCUAUUUCUUUUUAAGUAUGAAUGAACUUUAUCAAUGUCAAAUAAAGGAUCAUUUUACAUGUUCUGU
rnacentral:lncRNA from 1 species